UACGAGAGGACCGGAGUGGACGCAUCUCUGGUGUACCGGUUGUGACGCCAGUCGCAUCGCCGGGUAGCUAUAUGCGGAAGAGAUAAACGCUGAAAGCAUCUAAGCGUGAAACUCGCCUCAAGAUGAGACUUCCCUGGAGACUUGAUCUCCCUGAAGGGCCGUGGAAGACCACCACGUUGAUAGGUCGGGUGUGGAAGCGCAGUAAUGCGUUAAGCUAACCGAUACUAAUUACCCGUGAGGCUUGAUCCU
rnacentral:rRNA from 1 species